rnacentral:rRNA from 1 species
GAUGAACGCUGGCGGCGUGCCUAAUACAUGCAAGUCGAGCGAACGGACGAGAAGCUUGCUUCUCUGAUGUUAGCGGCGGACGGGUGAGUAACACGUGGAUAACCUACCUAUAAGACUGGGAUAACUUCGGGAAACCGGAGCUAAUACCGGAUAAUAUUUUGAACCGCAUGGUUCAAAAGUGAAAGACGGUCUUGCUGUCACUUAUAGAUGGAUCCGCGCUACAUUAGCUAGUUGGUAAGGUAACGGCUUACCAAGGCAACGAUGCAUAGCCGACCUGAGAGGGUGAUCGGCCACACUGGAACUGAGACACGGUCCAGACUCCUACGGGAGGCAGCAGUAGGGAAUCUUCCGCAAAGGGCGAAAGCCUGACGGAGCAACGCCGCGUGAGUGAUGAAGGUCUUCGGAUCGUAAAACUCUGUUAUUAGGGAAGAACAUAUGUGUAAGUAACUGUGCACAUCUUGACGGUACCUAAUCAGAAAGCCACGGCUAACUACGUG